rnacentral:misc_RNA from 1 species
UUGGGUUUAAGCUACAACUUUGAAGGCGACCAGACAGCCCCACUCCACAGGUGGUCUCUCGACUUUCUCUCCCUGUGGGUUGUGGGCAAAGAAAUUUAUAGCAAUUCCCUUCUCGGAUCCAGCUGUUUUUCACGUUUGCAGCUUAGAGUAUGAUCUUGUGAUGUGAUGAGUUUAUUAUUAUUGGGGCAAAAUGACCAGAUUAGUUGAACGGCUAAUGUAG